AUUAGAUACCCUGGGUAGUCCACGCAGUAAACGAUGAGCACUAAUUGUCCGUAGCGAGUGAGCUCUGGGUGAUACGGCGAAAGCGUUAAGUGCUCCACCUGGGGAGUACGCCGGCAACGGUGAAACUCAAAGGAAUUGACGGGGGCCCGCACAAGCGGAGGAACAUGUGGUUUAAUUCGAUGAUACGCGAGGAACCUUACCCGGGCUCAAACGCGGCGUGAAUACUUUUGAAAGGAGGUAGUCAGCAAUGACACGCCGCGAGGUGCUGCAUGGUUGUCGUCAGCUCGUGCCGUGAGGUGUCGGCUUAAGUGCCAUAACGAGCGCAACCCCUACCGUCAGUUGCCAGCAGGUUAGGCUGGGGACUCUGACGGGACUGCCGGCGCAAGCUGCGAGGAAGGCGGGGAUGACGUCAAAUCAGCACGGCCCUUACGUCCGGGGCGACACACGUGUUACAAUGGCAGGUACAGCGGGAAGCCACCUGGCGACAGGGCGCGGAACCCGAAAACCUGUCUCAGUUCGGAUUGGAGUCUGCAACCCGACUCCAUGAAGCUGGAAUCGCUAGUAAUCGCAAAUCAGAAUGUUGCGGUGAAUACGUUCCCGGGUCUUGUACACACCGCCCGUCACACCAUGGGAGUUGGAUAUGCCCGAAAUCAGUGACCCAACCGAAAGGAGGGAGCUGCCGAAGGUGGAGCCGAUGACUGGGGUGAAGUCGUAACAAGGUACC
rnacentral:rRNA from 1 species